UUAACAGACAUCAUUUGCACGUUUUGUUAUAAAUGAGUGGACUAGCUGGACAGAGAAGUGCAGAAGAAUGUAUCAGAUUCACCGUUUUGAUGAAGUUCCCUCUCUCUCUCUCUCUCUCUCUCUCUCUCUCUCUCUCUCUCUCUCUCUCUCUCUCUCUAACCUAAUGAGGUUGUUUGUGAGAAGGGUAGCUCUAUCUAGUAGCUGGCCAGCUCCUAGAGUCGUCCUCUCAGUUGAGUGUUGAGGAAAUUCUGGAAUAUAUGAUUUAGGUGUUAGUUGAGCAAGAUGGAGAAGCAGGGCACGUGCAUUUCUAACUCAUUCGCAUAUACUGAGAUAUAUAUACUCAAUACUCUUAUUUUUCUCUGAGCCGCUAAAUUAUUACAAGUUUACAGAUAUAUAUCUCAUAUCCAGUGAUGAGUUAGUUGUUCAUGUGCCCCUCUUCCCCAUCAUGACCACUCCACCUUAUUGCUUCUAUGAAGAUUGUCACCGUAGAUCAUAACAGUGCGGACAUUCCAAUUCAGGUAUUCAGAAAAUGCUGAAUAAUUAGCUCCACUUCAGGUGAUCGUUUUCGCUGCAAUUUUCUUAAUUAUAUAUGUAUAAUAUAUAUAUAUAUAUAUGUGUGUGCGCGCGCGCGCGCGCGCGUGUCUGUAUAUAGUUAGUCAGUUAGACUAGAUAAAAAAUAAACACUUAGCUUGAUAUUUUUGCAUUUCCAAAUUGGCUAAAGAAAUUGCAAUGCUAACUAAGAUUAUUAACUGUAAGGAAAAAGAGAUCAAGAAAACUUAAUGUGUUCUGUGCAGUGUUCAUAGGUUUGAAAUAGUGCUACAAUUAUUUUCAACAAAAUUCAUAGCAAAUUAUAUUGAACUUUAAUUUCAGUACUUUUUUAAUUUUUGUUUUUGUUUCCAAUUGCUCUCUCUCUCUCUCUCUCUCUCUCUCUCUAUGAUCUAGAUUUCUUUUGGUCUGUAGUUAGUAUGCAGAUGAUAAAUUGGUAAUCACUGUACGAAGAAGAAUGCUAUCUGGGUUAAUUACCAUUUUAUUAUGAUCGUAUGCAGAUGAUAAAUUGGUAAUCACUGUACGAAGAAGAAUGCUAUCUGGGUUAAUUACCAUUUUAUUAUGAUCGUAAGAUUACUGCAACAACCAUAUUUUUAUAAUUAAUUAAGGACAUAAGCAACCAUGAAGGCCAAUAAUUCCCCCCUUUUUCUUUAUUUUUUGAAGGAUUACCAACUUGUUAGAUACCUAAUACUAAAGAAACUAAAACUUCAAAUAAUCCAGUAAGUAAUCUAAUAUUAUAUACUCAUUCUGAUAAACACUGUUAUAUACACACACACAUACAUAUACAUAUAUAUAUAUACACACACACAUAUAUACACUCAUUCUGAUGCGCUUCUCAUCCCAUUGAAGAAGAGGUGGGUUUCCUGGGCCCCUCAUUGGGUCGGAGCUUCCUAUCUCUCAUUCGUUCCCUCUGAAGUAAGCUUCUAAGUGAGAUGAUCUAGGCUUGUCCAUAAAUCGGCUGACCACUCCCACUAUAUAUAUAUAUGUAUAUAUGUAUGUAUGUAUAUAUAUAAUCAUCCAAAGUGCUAUAGACAAAAGGGCAAUUGCUUUUUAGGCUUUCAAUUGCCCCCCUAGUAUGAGGAGGGAAGUUUUCCAAUUCUGGAAGUAAAAAAUGCUUAUGAAAAGCAAGUAAACCCCGUCAAGGUCUUACCAUAGUUGCUAUGAACAUCGUUUUUAUAACAAUCAUAUGGUUGGACAAUUUAACUGUGAUUACUAGAACUAACUAUUUUCACUUUCUCACUAAUCUAACCUUUUUUUUCUUUAAUUUCUGGAAUCCUUCAUAUUGCUUCUGUUGUUAUUCUUGUGCGGAUACUGAGGUAAAUCAACAUUAUUUGAGGGACUUGCUUGCAACAGUGAUGUAACUUUCGUAGAGGGACUUGCUUGCAAUGGCAAUAACUUUUGUGUCCUAAUGACAAAGAGGGACUUGCCAGCAACAUGAAUAUAGCUUUUUCUGCGUCUUAAUCACGAUAAAGACUUGCUUACAGUGCGGAUAGACCCUUUUGUGGUAUCCCUUUAUGUGUCUUUCUCACUUUGCACAUGAUUAAAGAUAAUGCGGAGUGAGAAAGAUACAUAAGGGCUAUUAUAUCUUUGUUGCAGGUAGGUCCCUCUUUGUGUUAGUGUUUGUUAAAUGAAUUAAAUUGUAUUUCUUUGGAUUUUAUUCAAUUUUGGAAGAAGACAAUUGUUUAAGCUAUCUAAGUUUGAUGAAGAAGAAAGGUGGAGUUCAUGGCUCAAUUUCAUUCAUACAUCCAACGGUACAUACUGGAUCCGGAAAUAAAGAAAAAAUCAACAUAAUCGUUGGGGAUUCACAGGCUCCACACGAGUCACUCUCUAAAAAACAGACUCACAUGCUUUGCACAUGCAUCACUUACUCUACAGAGCUGCUGUAAUUGCUAGCUAAUAAAAGCUCUUAAGAUGUUCUAAUCCUAGCUACAUUAUACAUAUACUAAAACUUAGCUAAUAAAAAGCUCUUAAGAUGUUCUAACCCAACUUUCUCGAGCCAAAGAAAUCGCCAUCAGCCUUCACCCAUAAAAAAUUUUGCCAGAAAUUCACCACGGGAAGUCCAAAUUUUCUCUACUUGGACGAUUGCAGAAGAUCAGGAUUUGGGUUUGGGCAGAUCAAUCCUGUAAACCGCUUCAACAACAUGGCUUGGAACUCGAUUGGCCACUAUCUGCACAGCCUCCAUAUUCUUGGUAAUACAGCAGAAGCAAUCAUCCAUGGCUUGAAAAGGAUGGAAAGACUAAUCCAGGGCAAUCACAUAUCAUUAUCAGACAUAAUCAAUGUUUGGUAAAAAUAUAGAAGGAAGAUAGAUCACUAUCUAUCACAUACCCUAUUUCUUAUUUAUUUAUUUUUCAUUUGAUUAACAAUUCAAACAUACCUUUAUAUUUAUUAGUAUCUUGAUUUCCAUGACAAUUCAAGCAGAUCUUUUUGUGUGUUUUUUUUUUUUUUUUUUUUAUUGUUUCUCGGUGUUUAAUUUUAUUUGAAUUUCUUAAUUUGUUCACAGGAUGCUUUGGUUAGUAGCCAUUUUAUUUAUUUAGGAUUUAUAGCACCAAGGGUAUUGGUGAAUGGUGAAUAGGUUUGUAUGGGCUCACGUAUCUUAAACUUGUAGUGGGAAGUGAGGGUUUUGUUUUAGUGUUUUAGAUAAUUUUAGGAACAUGUAGAUACUAUGAUUUGUGGUUGCCUUCUUAAACCAUGAUAAAGUAGUCCAUGUAAUUUUAACAUAGAUAUCAUUUUUUUUUUAUCUAA